ensembl:snoRNA SNORA70 Small nucleolar RNA SNORA70
CUCCCACCAAGUAUGUCAACUUGUUCCUUUUCUCAUGGGGGCCUUGUGUGCAAUGUCUGUGAGCCACAGGCUUCUGGGAAGUGCAUUCAACCUGUUACAGGAGUUUUUCUAAGGGACCUUGGGGACAGUU